UACGAAGGGUGCAAGCGUUACUCGGAAUUACUGGGCGUAAAGCGUGCGUAGGUGGUCUGUUAAGUCUGAUGUGAAAGCCCUGGGCUCAACCUGGGAAUUGCAUUGGAUACUGGCAGGCUAGAGUGCGGUAGAGGGUAGUGGAAUUCCCGGUGUAGCAGUGAAAUGCGUAGAGAUCGGGAGGAACACCAGUGGCGAAGGCGACUACCUGGACCAGCACUGACACUGAGGCACGAAAGCAUGGGGAGCAAACAGG
rnacentral:rRNA from 1 species